UACGUAGGGGGCUAGCGUUGUCCGGAAUCAUUGGGCGUAAAGCGCGUGUAGGCGGUUCGGUAAGUCCGCUGUGAAAGUCGGGGGCUCAACCCUCGGAUGCCGGUGGAUACUGUCGGACUAGAGUACGGAAGAGGCGAGUGGAAUUCCUGGUGUAGCGGUGAAAUGCGCAGAUAUCAGGAAGAACACCCGUGGCGAAGGCGGUUCUCUGGGACGGUACUGACGCUGAGACGCGAAAGCGUGGGGAGCGAACAGG
rnacentral:rRNA from 1 species